rnacentral:snRNA from 1 species
AGCUUUGCACAGUGGCAGUAUCGUAGCCAAUGAGGUUAAUCCGAGGCGCGAUUACUGCUAGAUGAAAACUUAUCUUCACUCCU